CCGGGCUGUGCAAAGCAGGACUGCUUGGUUUCCAUGGAGAUACUGCUAGUUAGGCUAUGGAAAUCCUGAAAAGGCCAGGGGAUGAGUGACAAUACAAGGAUGUAGCGGCUGAUCUGAAGAGCCAGACUGAAUUAAUGAGAUUCUGCAAGGCUAGCACAGUAUGGCUCUUAGACCCUCGUUUUUUCAGCUGCAGUCUUGAAAACAGAAAUGGAUGGAUGGACGGACAGACGAAUGGAUUGGUGGCCAGACAGAUAGGAAUCAUUGUGAUGGAAUAAACUCUGACUAUGGCCACCUUUUGUACAACAGAGCCAAAGGUCUCCUUUGCCUGUGCCAUUUUCACGGCUACUGGAUCUUGGGACAGAAAAGAAACAUGUGAAAGUGAAGGCACUUUGAAGGAAAAUUCUCUUCAAGACUCUUCAAACUAAUGAAAGCAGAUUUACAGACUCUGCCAGGAACAGAGAAGUUGGAUGAUACCUAUGCUCAGACUAACUCUAUUUCUAAAAAUAAAGCCCAGCCUCUCAGUCUA